ACGGCCGGGGUCGCGGCUGUGGUCGCGGCAGGUUCAUGGCGCGGGCGGUACCGGCCUCUGCAGGUGACGGAGGCGCAGCGAGGGCCGCCCCGGCGUAGAGAUGAGGAAACUGAGGCAUAAAGAUACGUAAUCAGAACCAGAUAAUACCUUAAGUGGUAGAACCAGGACAAAAAUUUGGGUAGUCUGGCUCCAGGGUCCAUACCCAACACGAUUCUGGCCCAUCAACAAGUUCCAAAAGAUGAGUCGUGGAUAUUCAGAAAACAACAAUUUCCUAAACAAUAACAACCAAAUGGUGUUGGACAUGAUCCUUUACCCAUUAAUUGGAAUCCACCAGACCAUCAACUGGGAAUCAGUGGCAAGGCUUGUGCCUGGAUUAACACCC